UACGUAGGCAGCAAGCGUUGUUCGGAGUUACUGGGCGUAAAGGGUGUGUAGGUGGCCUGUUAAGUUCCGUGUGAAAUCUCUCGGCUCAACCGGGAGGGUGCGCGGAAAACUGGCGGGCUAGAGUACGGGAUGGGAGAGUAGAAUUCCUGGUGUAGCGGUGAAAUGCGUAGAUAUCAGGAGGAAUACCGGUGGUGUAGACGGCUCUCUGGACCGUAACUGACACUGAGACACGAAAGCGUGGGUAGCAAACAGG
rnacentral:rRNA from 1 species